AGUGACUGCACCUGGGUAUUCCUCUGGGGUGAUGGGGCAACACGCUGUGGGGACUUGAGGGGCAGAGGCCAGCAGCGCUCUGCCCUGAUGCCUGCACUUCUGCUGGGGAGAGGGGGUUGCAGACCAGUCCUGUAACAAGGGGGUCGGUAGGGCAGAGGCCAGCGGCGCUCUGCCCUGAUGUCAGCUCUUCCGCUGGGGUAGCCGGCAGAAU